rnacentral:lncRNA from 1 species
UUCUCUCUCUCUAUUUUUUUUUUUGCUAUUAAUCACCCGGGAAAGGGAAGGGGCCUGAUAAUUCAAAGUUUACUCGAGCGGUAAAUAAAGUAUGGGUCUUGUUAACCGGUGGAGCUCAUUAAUUUAUCAUGGACUUGUCCAAAUUCAUUAUAUUCUCUAAUAAGCAACAUGAGAAAAAUGAAAAAAGGAACAGAAAGAUAGUAGUAGUACUCACACAGCAAAAGACAGAUCUUUGAG